ensembl:lncRNA novel transcript
AGAGGUACAAGAGCUUCAGGCUGCAGGAGACCGGCUUUUGGCAUCAGACAGCCACCUCUAUUGACUGAAGUUGACAAUGGAGAAUAAAACUCAUUACCCCUGCUGAAUCCAGGGGCCCCUUUUUACAGAUGAGAAAAGUUCCAGAAAGACCCAGAGACAUAAUCAGGUACCUGCGUCGAGCUCUGCACAGGUGACUGGGACUGCAACCCCGGAGACCACUGUGUCAGCAAUGGGUGUGGCCAUGAGUGUGUUGCAGGGUAAGGACAGAUGAAGAGUUAUCUUAAGGAUCAUCUUUCCCUAAGAUCGUCAUCCCUUCCUGGAGUUCCUAUCUUCCAAGAUGUGACUGUCUGGAGUUCCUUGACUAGGAAGAUGGAUGAAAACAGCAAGCCUGUGGAUGGAGACUACAGGGGAUAUGGGAGGCAGGGAAGAGGGGUUGUUUCUUUUAAUAAAUCAUCAUUGUUAAAAGCA